AUUGAACGCUGGCGGCAGGCCUAACACAUGCAAGUCGAGCGGAGCGGCGGACGGGUGAGUAAUGCCUAGGAAUCUGCCUGGUAGUGGGGGAUAACGUCCGGAAACGGGCGCUAAUACCGCAUACUAUCAGAUGAGCCUAGGUCGGAUUAGCUGGUUGGUGGGGUAAAGGCCUACCAAGGCGACGAUCCGUAACUGGUCUGCGAGGAUGAUCAGUCAAACUGUAACUGAGACACGGCCCCACCUCCUCCGUGAGUGAGCGGUGGGGAAUAUUGGACAAGGGGCGAAAGCCUGAUCCAGCCAUGCCGCGUGUGUGAAGAAGGUCUUCGGAUUGUAAAGCACUUUAAGUUUGGAGGCGUUACCAACAGAAUAAGCACCGGCUAACUUCGUGCCAGCAGCCGCGGUAAUUC
rnacentral:rRNA from 1 species